rnacentral:rRNA from 1 species
CACGUAGGCACCAAGCGUUGUCCGGAUUUAUUGGGCGUAAAGAGCUCGUAGGCGGUUCAGUAAGUCGGGUGUGAAAACUUUGGGCUUAACCCAAAGCGUGCAUCCGAUACUGCUGUGACUUGAGUUCGGUAGGGGAGUGGGGAAUUCCUAGUGUAGCGGUGAAAUGCGUAGAGAUCCGGAGGAACCCCAGAGGCGAAGGCGGCAGCCUGGUUGGUAUCUGACGCUCGGACACGACAGCAUGGGGAGCGAACGGG